CCUACGGGGGGCUGCAGUGGGGAAUUUUGGACAAUGGGGGCAACCCUGAUCCAGCCAUGCCGCGUGAGUGAAGAAGGCCUUCGGGUUGUAAAGCUCUUUCGGCCGGGAAGAAAUCGCAUCAGCUAAUACCUGGUGUGGAUGACGGUACCGGAAUAAGAAGCACCGGCUAACUACGUGCCAGCAGCCGCGGUAAUACGUAGGGUGCGAGCGUUAAUCGGAAUUACUGGGCGUAAAGCGUGCGCAGGCGGUUGUGUAAGACAGGCGUGAAAUCCCCGGGCUCAACCUGGGAACUGCGCUUGUGACUGCACAGCUAGAGUACGGCAGAGGGGGGUGGAAUUCCACGUGUAGCAGUGAAAUGCGUAGAGAUGUGGAGGAACACCGAUGGCGAAGGCAGCCCCCUGGGCCGAUACUGACGCUCAUGCACGAAAGCGUGGGUAGCAAACAGGAUUAGAUACCCCAGUAGUC
rnacentral:rRNA from 1 species